GCAUAUCAAUAAGCGGAGGAAAAGAAACCAACAGGGAUUGCCCUAGUAACGGCGAGUGAAGCGGCAACAGCUCAAAUUUGAAAUCUGGCUCUCUUUGGGGGUCCGAGUUGUAAUUUGCAGAGGAUGCUUUGGCAUUGGCGGCGGUCUAAGUUCCUUGGAACAGGACAUCACAGAGGGUGAGAAUCCCGUACGUGGUCGCCUGCCCUUGCCGUGUAAAGCUCCUUCGACGAGUCGAGUUGUUUGGGAAUGCAGCUCUAAAUGGGAGGUAAAUUUCUUCUAAAGCUAAAUACUGGCCAGAGACCGAUAGCGCACAAGUAGAGUGAUCGAAAGAUGAAAAGUACUUUGGAAAGAGAGUCAAAAAGCACGUGAAAUUGUUGAAAGGGAAGCGCUUGCAGCCAGACUUGCCCGCAGUUGCUCACCUAGGCUUUCGCCUGGGGCACUCUUCUGCGGGCAGGCCAGCAUCAGUUUGGGCGGUUGGAUAAAGGCCUCUGUCACGUAUCUCCCUUCGGGGUGACCUUAUAGGGGAGGCGCAAUGCAACCAGCCCGGACUGAGGUCCGCGCAUCUGCUAGGAUGCUGGCGUAAUGGCUGUAAGCGGCCCGUCUUGAAACACGGACCAAGGAGUCUAACAUCUAUGCGAGUGUUUGGGUGUCAAGCCCGAGCGCGCAAUGAAAGUGAACGGAGGUGGGAACCCUUUGGGUGCACCAUCGACCGAUCCUGAUGUCUUCGGAUGGAUUUGAGUAAGAGCAUAGCUGUUGGGACCCGAAAGAUGGUGAACUAUGCUUGAAUAGGGUGAAGCCAGAGGAAACUCUGGUGGAGGCUCGCAGCGGUUCUGACGUGCAAAUCGAUCGUCAAAUUUGGGCAUAGGGGCGAAAGACUAAUCGAACCAUCUAGUAGCUGGUUCCUGCCGAAGUU
rnacentral:rRNA from 1 species